rnacentral:rRNA from 1 species
UACGUAGGUGGCGAGCGUUGUCCGGAAUUACUGGGUGUAAAGCGCGUGUAGGCGGCAGGCCAAGUCGGUGGUGAAAGCGCCCGGCUCAACUGGGCGAGGUCCAUGGAAACUGGUCAGCUGGAGGACGGUAGAGGCGAGUGGAAUUCCCGGUGUAGUGGUGAAAUGCGCAGAUAUCAGGAGGAACACCGGUGGCGAAGGCGGAUCUCUGGGCCGAUACUGACGCUGAGGAGCGAAAGCGUGGGGAGCGAACAGG